AAAUCCCUCUGAGCGAUAUGCGGACAGUCACAGCCACAGUCACCAUGAGGGUCCCCAUCACACUGUGCUCCCUCCUGAGCCUCCUCUGCCUCUCUGACACCUAUCCACUAUUAAAAGGCCGGCACAAUGACACCGGAACCAACUUGUUUCAUUCUCCUGACCCCGCCCACAACGUCACAGGUUUGGCCGACCGUUGCACGGAUGAAGGAUUUGGUGCCAUGGCACUGGAUGAUAAAGGAGUCAUGUAUUAUUUCAGAGAUGACUUUGUGUGGUUGGGAUUUCAUGGUCCUGCGAAGUGGAUAAACGAGACCUGGCAGGGCAUUCCCGGAUCUAUAGAUGCCGCAUUUCGCAACCACAACCAAGAGCACCCUCUGGAACAUCAAAGAAUUUACCUGUUCAAGGGCUCAAAGGUUUGGAGUUACUUGGAAGGGAAACUGGUGGCCGGCUUUCCGCGGCUCAUUAGUGAGGAGUUUCCAGGAAUUCCGGACGAUCUGGACGCCGCUGUAGAAUGUCACAAGGGGGAAUGCAGGACGGACAGCGUCAUAUUUUUCAAAGAUGGCAAGGUCUAUGUAUACAGCUCUAAGGAGGACCCGGCUGUGAAGCAGAAGACCUGGGCCAAUCUAGGAUCUUGUACAGCGGCUGUCAGAUGGAUGGAGAAAUAUUACUGCUUCAAUGGCAUCAACUUCACCAGAUUCGAUCCAGUGACUGGAGAGCGGCUAUCUCCCCGACCAAUGGACACGCGAGACUAUUUUGUGCAAUGCCCUGGCAGAGGACAUGCACAUAGUGCCCGGCAGAAUGCUACCCAUAUGGCCCUCGUGAAUCGCUGCAGCAAUCGUCCGUUUGAAGCUUUAAGCUCAGAUGACAAGUCCCGAACGUACGCCUUCCGAGGUGGCUUUUACUUCUGCCUGGACACCAGAAAGGACGGCUGGCACGCAUGGCCUCUUGGUCACACAUGGAGGACCCUGGAAGGAGUGGUGGAUGCUGCUUUCUCAUACAGGAACCAUAUGUACUUUAUGCAGGGGUCACAAGUGACCAUCUACUCAGCUGAUCAGAUCUACAUCCCAGUUGCCGGAUAUCCAAAGCCCAUCCAGGAUGAGUGGGAGGUCCCGGGGAUCACAGCAGUGAAUGCCGCCUUCACCUGCCCCCAUUCCAGUGACCUAUAUCUCAUUAGAGGCAACAGAAUGUUCCUGGUGGACCUGAACACUCGGAAGCAGUCUGGAGCAGCCAAAACAAUCAUUCACUCGGAGGUGGACAGUGCAAUGUGUAAUGCUCAUGGACUGUACCUCUUCCAUGGUCCUUCCUAUUACCACUACAAGGAUGCAGAGGAGCUGCUAGCUGCCACAGAGGCCCCUGCCGCUGGGAACAUCGCCUCCUACUUUUUGGACUGCUAGAGGAGAGCGAGGAGCCCACAUCACCCGUCACAGAUCUACACAGCGUGCAUAUGGAGUUAUUACCUGGUUAUUUAACUGUAAUACUGAGAGACAUCCAACAGUAGUUUUAUUACAAGGAAUGCCUAAUAAAACGAAAAAUAAAACAAG